ensembl:lncRNA
CUUAAAAUAGAAAUGCUUCACAUUUCUAGAAUGCUGUCCUCCCACACCCUGGUGAGGCAGAUAAUAGUUGUUUGUUGUUUUUACAGAAUGAAAAAUAGAAAUUAAAAAAGCCCAACUCAAGAUACCAAAAAGGUAGCCCUUCCCUCAGGGAAUCCCAGAGGUAGUGCCCUGGAGAAAAGAUCUGGUAACUCUACUUACACAUCUGGCAUCAGGUAAAGACAUGUCUUAGGAAACAGGAAACCCUACUGAGAAAGGAGGAGAAGUUGAAGAAAGACACCACUAGAAAGGAGGCCAGGGAUACAAGAUCUGUGACUUGCAGGAAGAAGGAGGAUUGCUAAGUGCCCUCUUCUCCAAAUACCCCAAGCAUGCAAAGUGAUUUCCUCCGAGAGAACUCAUUAUUAUAACCAAAAACUUUUUGUAUUUCAGUACUUCCAGCACCUGUCACUUCCUUGGGUGUAUAUACUCGCUCCAGCCAUGCAUAUGAUAAGGUCUAUGUAACUUAGGAGACCAUUGCUAAGGUCAAGAGAUGAAUCACCCUUUGGUGAAUCUUGUGAUGGAAAUAAUUUUUAAUCAUGGAUCCUUUGGAAUUGUCUUGAAUUAUUUGUUGUUUAGAAUAGCUAAAUUUUUCACACUGAUCAUCAUUAUAUUGCUGUUACUGUGUACAAUGUUCUCUUGGUUCUGCUCGCUUUACUCUGUAUCAUUUUGUGCAUAUCUUCCCAGAUUUUUUUUUACUAUUAUACUUCUCAUUUCUUACACUACAACACUACUCUAUAACAGUCAUAUACUACAACUUGUUCAGUCAUCUCCCAAUUGAUGGAUAUAACCUCAAUUUCCAAUUCUUUGUAACCACAAAAAGAACUGCUCUAAACAGUAUUGUACAUGUAGGACCUUUUCCCUUUUCUUUGAUCACUUUAGGAUAGAGACAUAGUACUAGUUUUGUUGGGCCAAAGGGGAAGCAUAGUAUUAAAAACUUUUGGUCUUAGUUUUAAAUUGUUCUCUAAAAUGGUUGGACUAGUUAAUAAUUGUCCUCACAGUGCAUCAGUGUCCAAAUUUUUCCAUCUCCUCUAUGGCAUUUGUUCUUUUUUCUUUUGGUCAUGUUAGACAAAUCUAACUUGUGUGAGAUGAUUUCUAAGAAUUAUUUUAAUUUGUAACUGUAUGGUCAAUAGUGAUAUAAAGAAUUAUUUUCUUUAACUUAUGAUAGCUUUUAUUUCUUCUGAAAAUGCAUAUUCAUAUGCUCUGGUCCAUUUAUCAAUUGAGGAAUGGUUCUUAUUUUUAUAUAUUUGGCUCACUUUUAAAAAUGUGACCCUGACAAAUUUGCUGUAAAGUUUUCCCCGAUUUCCUGCUUUCCUUCUAAUUUUGGAUACAUUAGUUUUGUUUCUGCAAUUUUUUUUUAAUUUCAUAAAAUCAAAAUUUACCAUUUUACUUCCUGUGAUCCUCACUAUAUUUAAUUUGGUUAUAAGGUUUUUCCUUAUCCAUAAAUCUAAAUUUUUUUUAUUUGCCUUUAUUUUACUAAUGAUAUCACCCUUUAUGUCUAAAUGAUUUAUCCAUUUUUACCUUAGGUUUAUGAUGUUAGAUGGUGAUCUGUGCCUAAUUUUUGUCAUACUACUUUCUAGUUUCCUAUGUAAUUUUUGUCAAAUGUUAUGUUCUUGCCUCAGAAACUUUAUCAAAUAUUAUAUUGCUAUAAUAAUUUACUACUAUGUGUUAUAUGUUUAAUUAUUACUGAUCUACCACUCUAUUUCUUAGCCAGUAGAUUGUUUUAAUGAUUUCUGCUUUGUUAGAUAUUUUAAAAUCUUAUGCUGUUAGACAACUGUCUUUUACAUUUUAUAUUGAUUCCUUUGAUAUUCUCAAUCUUUUGUUCUUCUGAAUGAAUUUUGUUAUUAUUAUUUUGCUCUAUAAAGUAAUUAUUUGAUAGCUUAAUUAGUAAGGUGCACAAUAAAUAAAUGUAGGUAGAAUUAUAAUUUUUUGUU